rnacentral:rRNA from 1 species
UACGUAGGGGCCAAGCGUUGUCCGGAUUUAUUGGGCGUAAAGAGCUCGUAGGCGGUUGGGUAAGUCGGGUGUGAAAACUCCAGGCUCAACUUGGAGAUGCCACCCGAUACUGCUCUGACUUGAGUUCGGUAGGGGAGUGGGGAAUUCCUGGUGUAGCGGUGAAAUGCGCAGAUAUCAGGAGGAACACCGGUGGCGAAGGCGCCACUCUGGGCCGAAACUGACGCUGAGGAGCGAAAGCGUGGGUAGCAAACAGG